rnacentral:rRNA from 1 species
AGAUGUGAGGAAGGUGGGGAUGACGUCAAAUCAGCACGGCCCUUACGUCCGGGGCUACACACGUGUUACAAUGGGGGGUACAGAAGGCAGCUAGCGGGUGACCGUAUGCUAAUCCCAAAAGCCUCUCUCAGUUCGGAUCGAAGUCUGCAACCCGACUUCGUGAAGCUGGAUUCGCUAGUAAUCGCGCAUCAGCCACGGCGCGGUGAAUACGUUCCCGGGCCUUGUACACACCGCCCGUCAAGCCAUGGGAGCCGGGGGUACCUGAAGUACGUAACCGCAAGGAUCGUCCUAGGGUAAAACUGGUGACUGGGGCUAAGUCGUAACAAGGUAGCCGUACCGGAAGGUGCGGCUGGAACACC